rnacentral:rRNA from 1 species
GACGAACGCUGGCGGCGUGCUUAACACAUGCAAGUCGAGCGGUAAGGCCCUUCGGGGUACACGAGCGGCGAACGGGUGAGUAACACGUGGGCAACCUGCCCCGUACUCUGGGAUAAGCCCGGGAAACUGGGUCUAAUACCGGAUAUGACCUGCCAUCGCAUGGUGGUGGGUGGAAAGUUCCGGCGGUACGGGAUGGGCCCGCGGCCUAUCAGCUUGUUGGUGGGGUAGUGGCCUACCAAGGCGACGACGGGUAGCCGGCCUGAGAGGGCGACCGGCC